rnacentral:rRNA from 1 species
GAUGAACGCUGGCGGCGUGCCUAAUACAUGCAAGUCGAGCGAACGGACGAGAAGCUGGCGUCUCUGAUGUUAGCGGCGGACGGGUGAGUAACACGGGGAUAACCUACCUAUAAGACUGGGAUAACUUCGGGAAACCGGAUCUAAUACCGGAUGAUAUUUUGAACCGGAUUGUUCAAAAGUGAAAUACGGUCUUGCUGUCACUUAUAGAUUGAUCCGCGCUGCAUUAGCUAGUUGGUAAGGUAACGGCUUAACAAGGCAGCGAGGCAUAGCCGACCCGAAAGGGACAUCCGACACCUGGGCUGUGAGGCACGGCCCACACUCUUACGGGAGGCCACAGCCGAGAAUCUUACGCGAUGCAGCAGAGGGUGAUGGAGCAACGCCGCGUGAGUGCUGAAGCUCUUAGGCCCGUAGAACUCUGUUAUUCGGGAAGAACAUAUGUGUAAGUAACUGUGCACAUCUUGACGGUACCUAAUCAGAAAGCCACGGCUAACUACGUG